AUCAAAAUUAGGAGACUAGAAUCGAUGGAUCAGAGUCUUUUUCAUCUAUGAGCGUCUAUAAAAGUUGGAAUGAGAAAACGAUAGACAAUGAAGAAAAAAUUAUUUUUACCAUACUUUGACUAGAUAUUGUGGGUCAUAUGUUUAAUUAACGAAGAGAUAUUACUUUAUUCUACUUGUGCAUGUGCUUUUUCAACCCUUAGGGCUGUCAAUGAUAGCAAGGUGCUAUAACCUUAUUAUCAGCGUAUUGAUUCAAGAAAUAGUCCUACCAACUCUUAGUACACGCCAAUAUCAGUUGAUGAUUCUUUCGAACAAACUUUCAAAGGACUUUAUAAUAGCUAGUCGUUAAAUUUUACUAAAGACAGUUUGUCAAUAUGAUCAUUUAAGGCCGGAAGGAAACUUCUACAUGACAAUAUGUAGCUUCUCAAAAAAGGAGCAACUUUAUCUAAUCCCAACUAAAUGAACUCUUGAUGCUUGUACUCUUGAAUAUUCACGUUAUCUAUUUCUCAUGAUAUUUAAGCAACAUAUUAACGCGAGGAAUUUUAGUAAGUGUUUAUCAUUUCAAUUGUCCGAGGGUAUACGAAGGUUACAUAUAUAUCAUUGGUGUUUGUCAUAAAACAAAAGAGAUUUCAUAAUAUUAAAUACCUUUGCCUUUAACGCCCACCACUAUUUUUAAUCAACUGCUCUUACUUACAAACGGAAAUCUAUAAUAAAGCUUCUUUUAUUUACCAACAUUGGACACUAAUAAAUGCAAAAAUAAAAGUCCACGUUGAAACCUUUCAAAAUGAAGUAAGACAGCUUAAAAAAGGCGCCUUUCACUUUACGUAGAAAAUUACUUAUUUGCAUAUGAAAAGCAAAAAGCAAAAAACAAAUCUGAUAGCACAUCGAAAAGGCCGCAAAAGGCACUGUAUAUCUUACCUCGCUUAUGCUGAUGUUAAUAUUUAACCGAAAGUUAGUUUGGCAAAGAUACCAAUGUCUCUCUUUUUACAUUGGAAAUAUUUACUUUUCACACUACAAAUAUUGCUUAAUGUUGUUGAGAUUCAUUAUUUUCAUUUGAGAAAAAUUGACAGGAAUUGCUUUAAUCGUCGUAGCUUCUCUGACAGCUGGUCAAGCAUCAUUAUAUUUGCAAUUGCCAAACAGAAAUGUUUGAUUAUUUAAAACAGUAGAAGAUAAAUAAGAGUUGAUCGUUUUAACAUAAAAAAUUAACAAUCUGGCAUUCCAUGGUGACUAUAUUUUCAGAUAUUUGAGGAUAAUAUAUAAAAGUUAGAUCUCAUGAGAUCAUUGUUGGAGUUGGAUAGGUAAAACAAAAACUUCAAUCUCCAAUCUCUAUCAAAAUUUCUGAACAACUAAUCAAAACUUUCCGUUUCACCUCCCAUCUCGAACACACGCUCGGUUUGGCUCGCCAAAAGGCUACAAUGUUUCAACAAUAUAUAUGCACAAAGAUGAGUAGUUUAAUUUCAAACAACUGCCUUGAAGACUAUAUAAAUAAAAUUUAUUUUUGACAGUUUAUAUAUGCUAUUUUCUGUAGAAAAAUAAUAACACCAAGUUAAUCAACAAAAGAGCUUUUUGUGAGUCCUUUUUCCACGUUCAUUUACAAAACUCGUUAUAUUAUAUCCACUCUCGCUUUCGAUUACCAAAUCUAAUUGAUUUAUUUUAAGCGUAGUUAUAAAUAAGAUAAAUACGAGUGUAGAGGAUUGGGAUUACUAAAAGACUGAAGAAGGAAAGAAACAGACUUUAUUGCAAACAAACAAAGCACAUCUGCUCAGCCUCUAUAUUGCUCAC